GAUGAACGCUGGCGGCGUGCCUAAUACAUGCAAGUCGAGCGAACAGACGAGGUUCUUGCUCCUCUGACGUUAGCGGCGGACGGGUGAGUAACACGUGGAUAACCUACCUAUAAGACUUGGAUAACGUCGAGAAACCGGAACUAAUACCGGAUAAUAUAUUUAACCGCAUGGUUCAGUAGUGUAAGACGGUUUUGCUGUCACUUAUAGAUGUAUCCGCGUCGCAUUAGCGGGUUGGUAAGGUAACGGCUUACCGAGGCGACGAUGCGUAGCCGACCCGAGAGCGGGAAGCCGCCCAGAGGGACUGAGCGGCCGUACUGGGACCGACAGGAGGCAGAGACACCGACUCUAGCGAGAUGUGCGGAAGACUGACGGAGGAGCGCCAGGUGAAUGCAGCAGGUCUUCGGACCGGAUGACUGUGUUAGUAGGGUAGAACGAAUGUGUAAGUAACUAUGCACGUUUUGACGGUACCUGAUCAGAAAGCCACGGCUAACUACGUG
rnacentral:rRNA from 1 species